UACGAAGGGGGCUAGCGUUGUUCGGAAUUACUGGGCGUAAAGCGCGUGUAGGUGGAUUAGCAAGCAAGAGGUGAAAUCCCAGAGCUCAACUUUGGAAUUGCCUUUUGAACUGCUAAUCUGGAGUAUUGGAGGGGAGUGCGGAAUUCCUAAUGUAGAGGUGAAAUUCGUAGAUAUUAGGAGGAACACCGGUGGCGAAGGCGGCACUCUGGACAAUUACUGACACUGAGACGCGAAAGCGUGGGGAGCAAACAGG
rnacentral:rRNA from 1 species